rnacentral:rRNA from 1 species
UACGGAGGGUGCGAGCGUUGUCCGGAUUUAUUGGGCGUAAAGAGCUCGUAGGCGGCUUGUCGCGUCGUCCGUGAAAACUUGGGGCUCAACCCCAAGCUUGCGGUCGAUACGGGCAGGCUAGAGUUCGGUAGGGGAGAAUGGAAUUCCCGGUGUAGCGGUGAAAUGCGCAGAUAUCGGGAGGAACACCGGUGGCGAAGGCGGUUCUCUGGGCCUUACCUGACGCUGAGGAGCGAAAGCGUGGGGAGCAAACAGG